rnacentral:rRNA from 1 species
UACGUAGGGACCGAGCGUUGUCCGGAAUCAUUGGGCGUAAAGAGCGUGUAGGCGGCCUUUUAAGUCCUGCGUGAAAUCCUGCGGCUCAACCGCAGACGGUCGUGGGAAACUGGAAGGCUAGAGUGCGGGAGAGGAGAGUGGAAUUCCCGGUGUAGCGGUGAAAUGCGCAGAUAUCAGGAGGAACACCGGUGGCGAAGGCGGGAUCCUGGGCCAGUACUGACGCUGAGGAGCGAAAGCGUGGGGAGCAAACAGG